UUAUCGGAGAGUUUGAUCCUGGCUCAGGACGAACGCUGGCGGCGUGCCUAAUACAUGCAAGUCGAGCGGAUUGAUGGGAGCUUGCUCCCUGAUAUCAGCGGCGGACGGGUGAGUAACACGUGGGUAACCUGCCUGUAAGACUGGGAUAACUCCGGGAAACCGGGGCU
rnacentral:ncRNA from 1 species